rnacentral:rRNA from 1 species
AGUGAACGCUGGCGGUAGGCCUAACACAUGCAAGUCGAACGGCAGCACAGUAAGAGCUUGCUCUUACGGGUGGCGAGUGGCGGACGGGUGAGGAAUACAUCGGAAUCUACUUUUUCGUGGGGGAUAACGUAGGGAAACUUACGCUAAUACCGCAUACGACCUACGGGUGAAAGCAGGGGAUCUUCGGACCUUGCGCGAUUGAAUGAGCCGAUGUCGGAUUAGCUAGUUGGCGGGGUAAAGGCCCACCAAGGCGACGAUCCGUAGCUGGUCUGAGAGGAUGAUCAGCCACACGGGAACUGAGACACGGUCCAGACUCCUACGGGAGGCAGCAGUGGGGAAUAUUGGACAAUGGGCGCAAGCCUGAUCCAGCCAUACCGCGUGGGUGAAGAAGGCCUUCGGGUUGUAAAGCCCUUUUGUUGGGAAAGAAAAGCAGCAGGUUAACACCCCGCUGUUCUGACGGUACCCAAAGAAUAAGCACCGGCUAACUUCGUG